GUACACUCCUGCGGGAGGCAGCAGUGGGGAAUAUUGGACAAUGGGCGCAAGCCUGAUCCAGCCAUGCCGCGUGAGUGAUGAAGGCCCUAGGGUUGUAAAGCUCUUUCACCGGUGAAGAUAAUGACGGUAACCGGAGAAGAAGCCCCGGCUAACUUCGUGCCAGCAGCCGCGGUAAUACGAAGGGGGCUAGCGUUGUUCGGAUUUACUGGGCGUAAAGCGCACGUAGGCGGACUAUUAAGUCAGGGGUGAAAUCCCGGGGCUCAACCCCGGAACUGCCUUUGAUACUGGUAGUCUUGAGUUCGAGAGAGGUGAGUGGAAUUCCGAGUGUAGAGGUGAAAUUCGUAGAUAUUCGGAGGAACACCAGUGGCGAAGGCGGCUCACUGGCUCGAUACUGACGCUGAGGUGCGAAAGCGUGGGGAGCAAACAGGAUUAGAAACCCCUGUAGUCCCA
rnacentral:rRNA from 1 species